UAUUCUGCCCCAUGGGGAAGGAUGAGAAGCUUCGACGUUGCCGCAGGCAACGGCCCGAAGGGCGAGGCGCUUUAGCGCCGAGUAAUCCUUCCCCCACCACCA
rnacentral:sRNA from 1 species